rnacentral:rRNA from 1 species
CGUAGUUGGAGUUCAGAGUGAGCUCGUCCGGUCGGCCUUAUGGGUCACACCUGUGAUGACUCUCUCUUGUUUGUGGAUCCUGUUCGGAGUUAAUUCUUCGGAUGUGGAGUCCACAUCGUUUACCUUGAAAAAAUUAGAGUGUUCAAAGCAGGCGUUUGCUUGAAUAUAUUAGCAUGGAAUAAUGGAAUAGGACGCUGGUUCUAUUUUGUUGGUUUUGAGAACCAGAGUAAUGAUUAAUAGGGACAGUUGGGGGCAUUCAUAUUUCAUUGUCAGAGGUGAAAUUCUUGGAUUUAUGAAAGAUGAACUUCUGCGAAAGCAUUUGCCAAGGAUGUUUUCAUUAAUCAAGAACGAAAGUUAGGGGAUCGAAGACGAUCAGAUACCGUCGUAGUCUUAACCAUAAACUAUGCCGACUAGGGAUUGGGCGUGGUUUGUUCAUUCACCCGCUCACCACCUUACGAGAAAUCAAAGUCUUUGGGUUCCGGGGGGAGUAUGGUCGCAAGGCUGACACUUAAAGGAAUUGACGGACGGGCACCACCAAGAGUGGAGCCUGCGGCUUACUUUGACUCCCCACGGGAAAACUUACCACGUCCAGACAUAGCAAGGAUUGA